GUCUGACAUAAGCUUUGAUUGAACUUAAAAAAUAUCAUUCUAUCCAAGAAUGUAAUUUUUAUGUAUGUUUUCACUAAAUUGUUUUAUAUUUGGACGGAAAAUUGGUGGCUUUAAAUAUUCCUGAAAACAGACAGCUCUCCCAAACACAGCCAUGAGCAACAAGUCGCCUGGUGUGUCCAUUUGCAGCUUCCCCUGAGUUAAUCACAGUCACACCAGAUUGGGAGGAGGAUGGUCAUCUGAAGAUGAGGGUCAUCCUGUGAGGGUGAGGUGUAGCCAAUCAAUACCCUUCAUCUCCAUGCUGAGCUGUGCUGUCAGAACUAUGGCCAUGGGGCAUGUGCAUGGUGGGCUGACCACUUCAAGGAAAAUUCACAUUUGGUUCAAGGACAGGGUUCCACUUCAAGGAGAUGGUUCAAGGUGAUGGUUCAAGGACUGUGACAGAGACUAAUAAGAUGGCUUCCUGUGUAGCAGCCAAGUCUGGAGCAAGCAAACCAACCCCUUGGGAGCAUUGUGCUGCACUCAACAGUAUUCCAGCUUUAUGAUGGAGGACUGUAAAUAAUCGAGACCAUAC